UAUAUAUAUAUAUAUAUAUAUAUAUAUAUAUAUAUAUAUAUAUAUAUAUAUAUCUUUUAUCAAAAAAAAAAACAAUAUAUAUAUAACCGAGAUUUCUACAUUUACCGGAUCUGGGGACGCCAGGAGAUAUUUCUAGGUCGGGCAUAGGCACGACAUCAAUUCACAUUUCUUGUGGCAUGCACUGCACCUGCUGCCCAUGGGCAAACUACCGGAUCCUGUUGGCUACUGAAGUCAGUAGCCAGCAGAAAAGCGGCACGUCAUAGAACACGGAUGUGACUGCAUCGUCCCAGAUGACAUUUUACUGGUUGACAUGACCGAUUCGUACCCUUCUUCACGAUGGGCGAUGCCCACGCACCCUCCCAUGCGCUGCCUUUUUCCCUUUCCGAGCAAAGGGAAUCCAGGACUUCCCCUUCCCACCCGACUGUUUGCCGGUCUAGCGUCCUCCCGCCAAUGCAUGGCAUCCACAGCAAAACCAUCGCUUCUCUUUACCAAAAAAAAAAAAAAACAAUCGCUUCUCCAAAUAUAGCCAAAGGCUUGAGUUACAUUACCUCGAUCACUUCAUGAUUCCAUUGCUUUUAUCCCUGUCGCCUAUGCCUAGGGGAACUGCGGUACAUCCACCUAUUUCGUCCUUUCGAGGAAAUGGCUUGGCCCACAGUUGGUAAACAUCGCUCUCAUCCAUCUCUUGGGCCCUGCCACGUCAUGAUC
rnacentral:lncRNA from 1 species